rnacentral:rRNA from 1 species
AUGGCUAAGGAAGAAGAGCUCAAGAGAGUUGAUUUGAAGGUGAACGUGAGCUGCUGCGACGGCUGCAGGAGGAAGGUGAUGAAGGCCAUGAACCUCAAGGGCGUGCUGAGGACGGAGAUCCACCCGUCGCUCGACCGGGUCACCGUCGUCGGCAACGUCGACACCAAGGUGCUCGUCAAGAAGCUCGCCAAGGUCGGCAAGAUCGCCGAGGUGGUGGAGGCGGCGGUGCCCGAGCAGCAGAAGAAGCGCGAGGGCGAUGUUUAUUUCCUGGAAUCCUAUGUUGAACUGUUGAUCGAGCAAAAUCACAUCGCGAUGCAUUUCUCGCGACGCAACAUCUCAGAGAAAUUUAUCAGACCGCAAGAGUUAGUGCUUCUCCAAUCACACCCCGCAAAAAACCUACCGCAUCCGUCUGGACGGAGGACCAGUCCACAGACACGGAUGCAGGAGGAUGUCAUCCAAUCGUAG